CUAUGCAAAAGAGGCAGGCAUCUAUAUCUUAUCCUAUGCCUCUUGCACCGGUGGGAAGAAGUCGUCUUAUCUACUAUUACCAUGUACGAAAAAACAAGGUAGCAAGUGAAAACCCAAGGUAAGACAGAAGGCUUUGUUUUGUCCGUGACAGUUGGCCCUCUGCGCUUCGUUUUUUCAGGAACAAUGCAAAACGGGAUUGAACGACAUGGACAUUUCAGCGGUUGCCGAGUUGAAAUGUACAGGAAACUGAUGAGGAUUGGCUGCCAAAUCAAGAGUAACAUGACGAUGCCUUCGGUAUCUUCAUAGUAGCACACAGACUUUGGACAGGAGGCUUGGGGUCUGACGCCAUAAGAUACCGUUGCCUGGAGCCAACAGAUUCCGUCAGACAAGCCAAAUGCACGCUGGACAUCCCCCCUCUCCGGCUCUCCCGCCGCCCGGAAGAUGCCAGUGGCCGUCCUGCUCGCUCGGAAGGCAGCAACGCAACAACAAAGGGUCGGAGCACCCAACCCCACGUCCUCCCCCGCCUCCUCCACCCUCAUCCCCCCACUUCCUUUCCUCCUCCCUCCUCCGCUUGUUCCCGCACUUUCCAUGUCACUGCACCACUGCUCCGCCGCCACCACGACGCCCGCCAUGGCCGCCGCCCCGGCCAGCGCCGGCCUCUCGUCCGCUCCCCCGUUCCGCCUCCUCGGCUCCGGCCCGUCCCAGCUCCGACUCCCUCAAGCUGCUGCCUGCCGCCGUCGUUCGCUACUCCGCUGCGCCGCCUCUGGCGGCGGUGAUGGCGGCGCCGGUUCCGAUCCGACCCUUGAGGAGCAGAGGCGGCGUCAGGCCGAGCUGGCCGCGCGCAUUGCGUCCGGCGAGUUCACCGUCCAAGGCCCUGGAUGGAUUGCUCCUCUCGUGGGGAGGCUGUCCAAGCUGGGGCCGCCGGGGGAGCUCGCCGCCGCGCUGCUCACGAGGCUGGCCGGCGCUGGUGCCGCGCGCGGCGGCCCGGAGAUUCCGCAGGCGGUGGGAUCGAUCAACGCGGUCGUGGGCCAGGCGUUCUUCGUCCCCCUGUACGAUCUCUUCCUCACCUACGGCGGCAUCUUCCGCCUCAACUUUGGGCCUAAGUCAUUUCUUAUAGUAUCUGAUCCGGCUAUAGCUAAGCACAUUCUGAGAGAGAACUCCAAAGCUUAUUCCAAGGGAAUUCUUGCGGAAAUAUUGGAGUUUGUCAUGGGUACAGGUUUGAUCCCAGCUGAUGGGGAGAUUUGGCGUGUUCGGAGGCGUGCUAUUGUUCCCGCAUUGCAUCAGAAGUUUGUCACUGCAAUGAUAGGUCUCUUUGGAGAAGCUUCAGAUCGGCUCUGCCAGAAAUUGGACAAGGCAGCAUCCGAUGGGGAGGAUGUGGAGAUGGAAUCUUUGUUCUCUCGACUAACGUUAGAUGUCAUUGGGAAGGCAGUAUUCAAUUAUGACUUUGACUCACUAUCUUAUGACAAUGGGAUUGUCGAGGCAGUGUAUGUAACACUAAGGGAAGCGGAAAUGCGUAGCACUUCUCCUAUACCAACUUGGGAAAUACCCAUAUGGAAGGACAUCUCCCCAAGGCAGAAGAAGGUCAAUGAAGCUCUCAAGUUGAUAAAUACUACUCUCGAUGAACUAAUUGCCGUAUGCAAGAGACUGGUGGAGCAAGAAGAUCUUCAGUUUCACGAAGAAUACAUGAAUGAGCAAGAUCCUAGUAUUCUUCACUUUCUCUUGGCAUCUGGAGAUGAUGUCUCCAGUAAGCAACUCCGUGAUGAUCUAAUGACAAUGCUCAUAGCUGGUCAUGAGACCUCUGCAGCGGUCUUGACAUGGACAUUUUAUCUUCUGUCUAAGUAUCCAAAAGUAAUGGCCAAGCUCCAAGAUGAGGUUGAUAGUGUUCUAGGUGAUGGUUUGCCAACAAUUGAGGAUGUGAAGAAACUAAAGUACACUACUCGAGUGAUUAAUGAAUCGUUGAGAUUAUAUCCGCAGCCACCGGUUUUAAUUCGUCGGUCGCUUGAGGAUGAUAUGCUGGGAGGGUACCCAAUAGGCCGUGGAGAAGACAUUUUUAUUUCUGUCUGGAAUCUUCACCACUGCCCAAAGCACUGGGAUGAUGCAGAAGUUUUCAACCCAGAAAGAUGGCCUUUGGAAGGACCAAAUCCAAAUGAGAUAAACCAAAAUUUCAGUUACUUACCAUUUGGUGGUGGACCAAGGAAAUGUGUUGGUGACAUGUUUGCCACUUUUGAGGCAUACUGGGUCAAUGCAGACUGUGGUCGCAACAGCAAUGCUUGUCAAGCGAUUUGACUUUCAGAUGGCUCCAGGAGCACCUCCGGUUGAUAUGACAACUGGAGCAACAAUUCACACAACUGAGGGGUUGAAAAUGACUGUUACUCGGAGGACAAAGCCACCAGUAAUUCCAAACCUGGAGAUGAAAGUUGUUUCUGAUUCACAAGAACCCAGACUUUCUACUCCAACAAUGGUUGUUAGUGCUGCUACUGUUGCUUCGGGAGAAGAUCAAAGGGAACUCUCCUGAUUUAGCUGUUUCAAGUUGCAAUGACAUACAGAAUGACAUUUGGUUGUGCGAGCAGUACAAUACAGAGAAGAAGUUUCCUGGUGUGCUACUUUUACGAGGACAAGAUCUCAAACUCUUCCUGGCUUAUUUUCACCGAUUCUACAGCGCACUCCUACAGAUUAUAGAUCUGCUUGCUACCACUCAAAAACACCAUGGACAUAUUUACAACAAGUUCUGACUUCCGAGCAUGGAAUGCUGCCCUUCUAAAUCUUCAGCAGUCCUUCCAACUCGCGAAGAACAUCAGCACGGGUAACUAUACCUGUUGAUAGUGUUUAGAACCUCAUUAAGCUUGCAAACUCAUCAAUGUUAAAUAAUACAAAUCAAGUAUAUAUACAUUCAGUCCUUUUGUCUCUUAA